rnacentral:lncRNA from 1 species
AUGGCGCACCGGAGGGAUUCGGUCGAGAUCCUCAUACCUACAAGACAAAAACAAAAGAUGAGUUAGUCUACAAGAAAAGAAAGAAAGAAGAACUUCAAAGAUCUAUAGGAGGGAUUUGGUGGAGAUCCUCAUCUCGGUGUCAUACAACGAUUACUUUUCGAGGAGCUCCCGCUGUGGAGGAAUCUGGACAUCAAACAGCCAGUUGUACAGUUCCUGAUCUUCUUUCAAGACCACAUCAUUUUUAUUCAAGGAAAGACUGGGAGUGGUCCAAUUCCAAUCAAAGUCCCAAGGGUGAUCGGCAGCCACA